rnacentral:rRNA from 1 species
AGCAGCCGCGGUAAUUCCAGCUCCAAUAGCGUAUAUUAAAGUUGUUGCAGUUAAAAAGCUCGUAGUUGAACUUCGGGGUUUACCCAUUGGUCAGGCUUAAUUGUCUGUACUGGUGAGAUGAAUCUCUACCUUCUGAGGAACUUUCAUGCCAUUUAUUUGGUGUGAUGGGAAAUCAGGACUGUUACUUUGGAAAAAUUAGAGUGUUUAAAGCAGGCUAACGUCUGAAUACAUUAGCAUGGAAUAAUGAAAUAGGACGGACUGAUUCUAUUUCGUUGGUUUCUAGGAUCACCGUAAUGAUUAAUAGGGAUAGUUGGGGGCAUUAGUAUUCAAUUGUCAGAGGUGAAAUUCUUGGAUUUAUUGAAGACUAACUACUGCGAAAGCAUUUGCCAAGGAUGUUUUCAUUAAUCAAGAACGAAAGUUAGGGGAUCGAAGACGAUCAGAUACCGUCGUAGUCUUAACCAUAAACUAUGCCGACUAGGGAUCGGACGAAGUUAAUUUUAUAAUUGACGCGUUCGGCACC